UGGGGAAUAUUGGACAAUGGGGGGAACCCUGAUCCAGCCAUGCCGCGUGUGUGAAGAAGGCCUUAUGGUUGUAAAGCACUUUAAGCGAGGAGGAGGCUCUCUUGGUUAAUACCCAAGAAGAGUGGACGUUACUCGCAGAAUAAGCACCGGCUAACUCUGUGCCAGCAGCCGCGGUAAUACAGAGGGUGCGAGCGUUAAUCGGAUUUACUGGGCGUAAAGCGUGCGUAGGCGGCUUUUUAAGUCGGAUGUGAAAUCCCCGAGCUUAACUUGGGAAUUGCAUACGAUACUGGGAAGCUAGAGUAUGGGAGAGGAUGGUAGAAUUCCAGGUGUAGCGGUGAAAUGCGUAGAGAUCUGGAGGAAUACCGAUGGCGAAGGCAGCCAUCUGGCCUAAUACUGACGCUGAGGUACGAAAGCAUGGGGAGCAAACAGG
rnacentral:rRNA from 1 species